CAGAGCCUGAAGAGCACAGAAGAAUUUCUGAAUUCCAUUCAAAUCAUAAACCUUCAGAUACACAAUAUAAUGUAAUAUUUUUAUAUUAUCAAACAAAUAGGUUUAAAAAAGAACGUUAAUAAACUGCAUAUUUAUAUAUCUGAAUAUGUACAUGCAUCUGAAAACUAAUGACAGUCAGUAAGGUGGAACCUUUAAGACUGAAAAUCACAGUACAAUUUAUCUGAUAUUCACAACAGAACAAUAAGCAAUUUUGAAUGAUCACAGAUUUUAGAUGUUCUUGCAAUAGAAUCCUAUAUGGUUGCUAUGGUGUUGCUUAAUGGUUAUUAGGAGUAAAUAUGGUGUUUGUUUAUUAUUUCUGUGUUCCAAGGUGGUUGAUAUGGUGUUGCUAGGUGGAUGUUGUUUCUCAGGUGGUUGAUAUGGUGUUGCUAGGUGGAUGCUGUUGUUUCUCAGGUGGUUGAUAUGGUGUUGCUAGGUGGAUGUUGUUUCUCAGGUGGUUGAUAUGUUGUUACUAGGUGGAUGCUGUUGUUUCUCAGGUGGUUGAUAUGGUGUUGCUAGGUGGAUGCUGUUGUUUCUCAGGUGGUUGAUAUGGUGUUGCUAGGUGGAUGCUGUUGUUUCUCAGGUGGUUGAUAUGUUGUUACUAGGUGGAUGCUGUUGUUUCUCAGGUAGAUGAUAUGGUGUUGCUAGGUGGAUGCUGUUGUUUCUCAGGUAGAUGGUAUGGUGUUGCUAGGUGGAUGUUGUAUCUCAGGUGGUUGAUAUGGUGUUGCUAGGUGGAUGCUGUUGUUUCUCAGGUGGUUGAUAUGGUGUUGCUAGGUGGAUGCUGUUGUUUCUCAGGUGGUUGAUAUGGUGUUGCUAGGUGGAUGCUGUUGUUUCUCAGGUGGUUGAUAUGUUGUUACUAGGUGGAUGCUGUUGUUUCUCAGGUAGAUGAUAUGGUGUUGCUAGGUGGAUGCUGUUUUUUUCUCAAGUGGUUGAUAUGGUGUUGCUAGGUGGAUGCUGUUGUUUCUCAGGUGGUUGAUACGGUGUUGCUAGGUGGAUACUGUUGUUCCUCAGGUGGUUGAUAUGGUGUUGCUAGGUGUGGAUGCUGAUGUUCCUUAGGUGGUUGAUAUGGUGUUGCUAGGUGGAUGCUGUUGUUUCUCAGGUGCUUGAUAUGGUGUUGCUAGGUGGAUGCUGUUUUUUCUCAGGUGGUUGACAUGGUGUUGCUAGGUGGAUGCUGUUGUGUCUCAGGUGCUUGAUAUGGUGUUGCUAGGUGGAUGCUGUUGUUUCUCAGGUGGUUGAUACGGUGUUGCUAGGUGGAUACUGUUGUUCCUCAGGUGGUUGAUAUGGUGUUGCUAGGUGUGGAUGCUGAUGUUCCUUAGGUGGUUGAUAUGGUGUUGCUAGGUGGAUGCUCUUGUUUCUCAGGUGGUUGAUAUGGUGUUGCUAAGUGGAUGCUGUUGUUUCUCAGGUGCUUGAUAUGGUGUUGCUAGGUGGAUGCUGUUUUUUCUCAGGUGGUUGACAUGGUGUUGCUAGGUGGAUGCUGUUGUGUCUCAGGUCGUUAAUAUGGCAUUGCUAGUAGAAUGUUGUUGCUUCUCAGGUGGUUGAUAUGUUGUUGCUAGGUGGAUGCUCUUGUUUCUCAGGUGGUUGAUAUGGAGUUGCUAAGUGGAUGCUGUUUUUUCUCAAGUGGUUGAUAUGGUGUUGCUAGGUGGAUGCUGUUGUUUCUCAGGUGGUUGAUAUGGUGUUGCUAGGUGUGGAUGCUGAUGUUCCUUAGGUAGAUGAUGUGGUGUUGCUAGGUGGAUGCUGUUGUAUCUCAGGUGGCUGAUAUAGUGUUGCUAGGUGGAUGCUGUUGUUUCUCAGGUGGUUAAUAUGGCGUUGCUAGUUGGAUGUUGUUGCUUCUCAGGUGGUUGAUAUGGUAUAUGCUGUUGUUUCUCAGAUGUUUGAUAUGGUGUUGCUAGGUGGAUGCUGUUGUUUCUCAGGUGGUUGAUAUGGUGUUGCUAGGUGGAUGCGGUUGUUUCUCAGGUGGCUGAUAUGGUGUUGCUCAGUGCUUACUAUGGUAUUGCAUGUGAUUGGUAUGAUCACCUAGCACCUACCAUAAUUCUUGUCUGUGCAUUUUACUUUACUGGAAAAUGAUAAAGUCAACACAGCAGCACCACCUUAUAUAAUCAGACAGGUACAGCAAAAAGCCCUGCCUUGCUUAGGUUGCAUUCAUGGCCCAACGUAGAACAUUAGCCUCCAAGAUUCAUUCCUGACAGUGGAUUCCUUCUAGAUGAAGUUAUGAUGAUGAACAUACCGUACUUACAGGUUUAAAGAUAAUAAAGCAGACUUAAUUGCGUGAUUGAGAAUGUCAGUGCAGAACAUGACCAGACUGUUAGCAUAGACAUCCCAUACAUAAUUAUGCAGAGAGGGAUAUUACAGUAAAUCUACAGAGCAUAAACCCCUCAUUAAAACAAAAAUGCACAUUUAAGAGUUCAGCACUGCAAUCUGAAUUAUUAUAAGACUAAUUUAAUAAAAUACCAAGCAACACACUGAAUAAUUUACCUGGUUUAAGCUGUGUAUUUUGUAGAGGGGUCCACUUCUCAUUUAGAGAAACAUAUUUUAAACUGUAAUGAACACCACAGUCCCCAGGGGUCUGAUUUGGACAACUUUGUAGUUCUAUAAUUACAGACUUUAUUCCUGUAUCUGUUUCUCUGAAUUCCUCUUUUCACCCUGUUCUACAAUGAUUAUUAUUUUGGUGAUGAAUCAUUAUGCUCGGCUUUAUUCUUAGCAUGGUGGUGGUAUAUGAGGUGUUAGUGUGUGUUGUGCUGCUGGUACAAGUGGAUCAGAUACAGCAGAGCUGCUGGAGUUUUUAAACACUGUGUUUAAUCACUCACUGACACUCCUACCUAUAGCGCCUAUUUGGAAACACAUCAACUAGUCAUACAACAA